rnacentral:lncRNA from 1 species
AGGGUUUGUAACAUCCUCACUACGAGGUAAAGAGUCAUUCAAAAGCAGCAUUCUCUCUUGUGACAGCAGGAAGCAAGGGGAGAUGGGUCUAACAACAUGUAACCAAGGUUUCAAAUGAAGGAUAGGCGUUGACUUAGAACUGCACAUAGCAGUAGAGAACUGCACUCCAGGAUGUUGCGCUGAAGUAAUAACAACUGCAUACAAAAUACACACCACCGCCAAUAUUUCAACUUUCGAAGUCCAGUCCUCGAGGACUUGAAAUGAUGAGCCAGGAAAGGAGGUAAGCUUGCAAUCAGUUGUCAGUAACCCCAAAAACCUUGCAACUAAUAUCUCAACAACCUCUUGUUGAUGAUAAGGCAAAUCCCGUAAGGGUGACUUUAAUGAAUCAUGUUCCACACAAGAAACCAAGUUUCUCGGUUUUGACACCGGAAUUAGUUGGAGGAAAGAGGAGACCUGGCUAGUGGUGAGAGAGCUGGAGAGAGCGACUUCAGCUAGUAAAGGUUUCAUCAACAGAGGCUGAACAGAUAGCAUACCUGCAUAGGAGCAGAGAAGCUUGAGCGAGAAACUGGUGGAAGCACAGAGAAACCAUGGCAUCGGAGCUUUCGGAUCUAUCUGAUGGUGAGGAGUGGUGAAGGACGACGAGAUAUGGUGGAGAAAUGCACAAACUAGAAGAACCGGUGGAGGGUCGGAAGGGACUGGAGGGACAAGAGGAUUCACCAGAAGCAUCACGUCGAGAUUUGGAUCUGGUGGUUUAGUCGGUAGGGGAGGAAACCAGAUGAAACAACUUCAGGAGAUUCCAUUGACAGAGAAUGGGAAAAGCUUCGGGAAGGAACGCGAGGCGUCGACAUCAGCAGAGGAGAGGCUCGUGGUUAAGAGACGGAUGAGCAAGCAUAAUCCUCAGAGAUGAGGUAAGAACUGUAUUCGACAGUAUAAACCUAGCGACGAGGAAACGGAAAAAAAUUUCGGUCAAAGUCACCCGUGAAGAACUUUAGAUCCAAGAUC